AGAUGUGAGGGUGAUCUGGCUGUGACAUCUGUCACCCCAUUGAUCACCAGGGUUGAUUCAGCUGAUCUGGCUGGCUAGGCGGGUGUCCCCUCCCUCCCUCACCGCUCCAUGUACAUCCCUCACGAAGCUGUGUGCACGGUGGAAUAGGACAACCGUCCCAGAUAGGAGUGUACUGUUCUUCGGUCAAGGGUAUACAAUAGCUGUGCUCCCCUGCUAGAACCUCCAAACAAGCUCAAGGUCCAUUUGUAGGCUCUUGGGUCUUUCCCAAGAUAUUUUACUUGAGGUCCUGGCAGCUGAGUCUGGGUCCUU